UACGUAGGGUGCAAGCGUUGUCCGGAAUUAUUGGGCGUAAAGAGCUCGUAGGCGGUCUGUCGCGUCUGCUGUGAAAUCGCCCGGCUCAACUGGGCGGGGUCAGCGGAUACGGCAGAGCUUGAGCAAGCUAGGGGGCAAUGGAAUUCCCGGUGUAGUGGUGGAAUGCGUAGAUAUCGGGAGGAACACCAGUGGCGAAGGCGGUUGCCUGGGGCUUUGCUGACGCUGAUGCGCGAAAGCGUGGGGAGCGAUCCGG
rnacentral:rRNA from 1 species